rnacentral:rRNA from 1 species
UACGGAGGGGGCUAGCGUUGUUCGGAAUUACUGGGCGUAAAGCGCGCGUAGGCGGACCUGCAAGUCGGGGGUGAAAGCCCGAGGCUCAACCUCGGAACUGCCUUCGAUACUGCGGGUCUCGAGUCCGGGAGAAGUGAGUGGAAUUCCUAGUGUAGAGGUGAAAUUCGUAGAUAUUAGGAAGAACACCAGUGGCGAAGGCGGCUCACUGGUCCGGUACUGACGCUGAGGUGCGAAAGCGUGGGGAGCAAACAGG